rnacentral:rRNA from 1 species
CACGUAGGAGGCGAGCGUUGUCCGGAAUCAUUGGGCGUAAGGAGCGCGCAGGCGGCUUGGCAAGUCGGGUGUGAAAUCCCGGGGCUCAACCCCGUGACUGCAUCCGAUACUGUCAGGCUAGAGGUAGGUAGGGGAGAUCGGAAUUCCUGGUGUAGCGGUGAAAUGCGCAGAUAUCAGGAGGAACACCGGUGGCGAAGGCGGAUCUCUGGGCCUUACCUGACGCUCAGGCGCGAAAGCUAGGGGAGCGAACAGG